rnacentral:lncRNA from 1 species
UCCCUGGGACCAGGGGAUGCUCUUCCCAAGGGAGAUGCUCUCCCCAGGGCUGAGGGAUGUCCUUCCUAAAGCCCAGGGUUGCUCUCCUCAAGGCUGGGACAUGCAUUCCUCCAGGGAUGCUCUCCCAGGGCCAAGGGAUGCUCUUCCUAAGGCUGAAGGAUGCAUUCCUCCAGGGAUGCCCUCCCUGGGGCCAGGGGAUGCUCUUCCUAAGGCUGAAGGAUGCAUUCCUCCAGGGAUGCUCUCCCUAAAGCCUAGAGAUGCUCUCCCUCAGGCUGGGACAUGCAUUCCCCCAGGGAUGCCCUCCCUAAGCUCCAGGGAUGUUCUCUUCAAGGCUGGGACAUGCAUUUCCCCAGGGAUGUCCUCCCCAAGGCCCAGGGAUGCUUUCCCCAAAGCUGGGACAUGCAUUCCCCCCGGGCUGCCCUUCCCAAGGAGCUUUCUCUCCCCAAAGCUCCAUCUCCUGGGGGUGUUGGCAGCUGGGUCCCCCCCAGAGGUGCCACAGAGCAGCAGGGCCGGGGGGAGGUUGGAGACAGCCCCAUUUCCCUUCCUGGUGCCAGCCCUGCCAUGGCCACGCUGCCCCUGCACCCCUGGGCUGCCCCCCACCCUCGCCCACGCUUCUGGCUGCACCUCGCCCUGCACAUCUGGAGAUCCAGCUGCUCACCAGGACAUCUCUGCACCGUGCCCUGACCCCUCCAGCGUCACACGGACACUGGGACCUCCUCUGGGCACCUCAGGGGGACAAAGGCUCUGCUCUGGGUGCAACUCUGGGGUGCCAAAGGCUCCACUCCGGUGCCACCAUUGCCCCCUCCCAUGGGUGCUGGUCCCAGGGGCAUGGGGGGGGGGGGCUAGAGGAGGGGUUGAGGUGCAGGGAUGGGGAUGGAAGCAAUAGGAGAGCGAGGUGUGGGGAUCCCUGGAGGGGUCAGGGUCCUUCCAACGCUGUUCCAUAUCUCUGUGACCAAGGCAAUACUACUCCUGUCCGUCUGUCCUGUGCGCAUGCCUGUCCAAUGUGUAGAGUUCCAAUAAAGUCAUCCAUGAGCUGAGUCA